CAUGCUGAAUGCAAUGUGAACUGUUAAAUUUUUGGUUCUCAUUUUAAAACAUUUGAAAAAAUCAUUUUUUCUAAUAUUUUAGAGGUUGAAGAAAAUUUAUGUUUCGUAUCAACUGUAUGAAGAAGUUUUAGUCAUCACCAACAUGGAGAGACAAUUCUCCCUGGAUCCGUUGUGUUUCUACCUGUCUUAUGACCAAGGCACUAAUUGCCCUUUUUUCUAGACUGUCUUCUCAAGGGUAUUUGUACAGUAAAUAGUCUUGGAAGAUAUUGGAAGAUAGAGAUAGUACCUCCAUCUGAAACAAAGCCUUGAAAGCUGUGAUAUCUCUCUCCUGACCAAAAGCUAUCUGUGGGAAUUAGAGCUCAGGGGACCAGUCAAUGCAAGAUAUGCAGAUGCUCAUACUGCCCGCUAUGCCUGAGUGACAAAAUCCUUUAUCUCGAAGCCAAGAGUUUUGCAUCUUCCAUCGGCAUCCAUGAAACUACAGCCAGCUAACUUGUUAGCCUGUAAGUGAAGUUAAAAUUCAGAUCUUUCACCUUGAUGAAAAAACAGUUGUUUAAUUUUGUUCUCUGAGAUGGACAUAUUAGACUAUAUUUUUAAGGGAAUUUAUAAAAUAAAAUGUAUUUUUUGGCCCAGCAUAUGUUAUGACCAGUAUUGAAGGUUGAAGGAUGACAUUUUUAUUAUUUAUUAUUUACCAAUAACAGAAUUGCUUCAAAUAGAUUUAUUUUAACAUAUCUACAUAUGAUAGAAAUAGUCUCUAUCACCCAGUAGGAUUGUUGGAGCAGGUCAGUUAGGUAUAUAUAAGAUUUUUAAAUCAUAUUUACAAAACUUUAGUGAUUAUACUGUUAUUCUCUCUCUACUUAUACAUUUGAACUCAGUUCUGAAACCAAAAUGAAUACACGAAGCCAUCUAAAAUUAAACAAGGUGUUUAUUCAGAUGACAUCAGAGCAUUUGAUUUUCAUUCAAUAUUAAUCUACCUUGCCAAAUUAAUGCAAAGUAAUGUAGGAACUGGAAUAUGAGAAUAAAUUAUCUAAACAAAAGUAUUAAUUAAAGCAUUAUUGGAAAAAUAAUUAAAUCAAGGACUUCAGGUGUUUUCAAGUAACUAGAAAGAAAAGUUUGGUUUACUGCUAUAUUUAAAAUGAGUAGAGUAAGUACUUUAUGUUUUAAAACAUUUUAUUCCCUUUAUUGUUAAAUAAAAUAUAUGCACAAAAAGGAGCACAAAAUAAAGAUGUACGGCUCAAUUCUAUCUUACAAGGGAAACACACAUGUAAGUGUCCAACCAGGUUAAGAAACCAAGCAUUGUCAGUAGCCAGAAAGCCCCCUCCCAUUCCCCUCCUAACUACUGGCCUCUUUCCAACAAAGGAAGCCACACUGUCUUUAUUUUAAAAGUAAUCCUUGUUUGUUUUUUUUAAAUUUUACCAACUAAAUAACUACAAUUUUGUUUUUCUGUUUCUGAACUUAAAUGUAAUCAUUUAUAUGUAAUGUUAUGAUUGACCUCUUUCAUUCAAUAUUAAAUUUGUGUGAUUUGUCUUUGUCA